GGCAGUCUGCACCAGGCUCGUGGGGGUAUUGCCUGCUUUGUGCCUGCCUUGGGAAAUGUUUGGAGCUGCUGCUUUGGCCGCGAGGCCCUGCUGCGAAGCCUGCGCGUGUGGCUCAGCUGGUGAAGUAAAUUCCCGGCGAUGUCAGAUCGCGUGAUGGCGGAGCUGGUUCGAAGCCCCCGCUCUCAAAGCGACCUCCAGCAGACCGUGACGGGGAUCAAGAACUGGCAACAGCGAACAGACACAGCAUUUGGUGUCGGUUCAGCUUGGCCCGGCCGUGUGCAAUAGCCCCGGGACUCCACAUAAUCCAUGCGGAGCUCAGCACGAGGGCGAAUGCCCAAGCUCCUUCGCAGGCCCGAGGCCAUCCUGUGGGGUGCCUCUGGCUGCCCACGGGCUGGGACAAGGGCGCUGGAUUUUGAUGGUGAGGGUGCAGGUGGAACAAGUGCUGACCCCGGUAAUCACCUGCCUGGCGCUGCGAGCGUCAGUGAGGAGUUUCGGUGGGGGAGGACCAGGAGGCCCGCCCUGCUGGGGAACUUGCUCGAUCCGCGAACGUAUGCGGAAUAAAUGUGCCAGAUUUUUUAAAUGGGUUUUGUUUAUUAGCACACCCUUAAGGAAAUAAAUCAUACAUCAUUAGGAGUGAUGUCUUCUCACCAGCCAGCGUCAUUAUUAUUAGCACACUUAUCUAACAGCCAUGCGAGUUUCGUUCUGCCCUUUAUUCAGGAAUCUUAAAGACUUUACAAAUACGAACUAAUUAGAGCAACGAAGAUUUUAUUUCAACAGCUAGAAAAGCACAUUGGUGGGAAGUGCUGCAGGCUCAGAAUUUCUGGGCCUGGACAUCG